UACGGGGGGGGCAAGCGUUGUUCGGAAUUACUGGGCGUAAAGGGCGUGUAGGCGGCCAACUAAGUCCGACGUGAAAUCCCCGGGCUCAACCCGGGAACUGCGUCCGAUACUGGCAGGCUUGAAUCCGGGAGAGGGAUGCGGAAUUCCAGGUGUAGCGGUGAAAUGCGUAGAUAUCUGGAGGAACACCGGUGGCGAAGGCGGCAUCCUGGACCGGCAUUGACGCUGAGGCGCGAAAGCCAGGGGAGCAAACGGG
rnacentral:rRNA from 1 species